rnacentral:rRNA from 1 species
UUGACAUCCAGCGAACUUUCCAGAGAUGGAUUGGUGCCUUCGGGAACGCUGAGACAGGUGCUGCAUGGCUGUCGUCAGCUCGUGUUGUGAAAUGUUGGGUUAAGUCCCGNAACGAGCGCAACCCUUAUCCUUUGUUGCCAGCGAUUCGGUCGGGAACUCAAAGGAGACUGCCGGUGAUAAACCGGAGGAAGGUGGGGAUGACGUCAAGUCAUCAUGGCCCUUACGAGUAGGGCUACACACGUGCUACAAUGGCGCAUACAAAGAGAAGCGACCUCGCGAGAGCAAGCGGACCUCAUAAAGUGCGUCGUAGUCCGGAUCGGAGUCUGCAACUCGACUCCGUGAAGUCGGAAUCGCUAGUAAUCGUGGAUCAGAAUGCCACGGUCGAAUACGUUCCCGGGCCUUGUACACACCGCCCGUCACACCAUGGGAGUGGGUUGCAAAAGAAGUAGGUAGCUUAACCCUCGGGAGGGCGCUUACCACUUUGUGAUUCAUGACUGGGGUGAAGUCGUAACAAGGUAGGCGUAGCGAG